rnacentral:rRNA from 1 species
GGAAUAUUGCACAAUGGGCGCAAGCCUGAUGCAGCCAUGCCGCGUGUAUGAAGAAGGCCUUCGGGUUGUAAAGUACUUUCAGUCGUGAGGAAGGCGGNGUCGUUAAUAGCGGCNUUGUUUGACGUUAGCGACAGAAGAAGCACCGGCUAACUCCGUGCCAGCAGCCGCGGUAAUACGGAGGGUGCGAGCGUUAAUCGGAAUUACUGGGCGUAAAGCGCAUGCAGGUGGUUUGUUAAGUCAGAUGUGAAAGCCCGGGGCUCAACCUCGGAAUAGCAUUUGAAACUGGCAGACUAGAGUACUGUAGAGGGGGGUAGAAUUUCAGGUGUAGCGGUGAAAUGCGUAGAGAUCUGAAGGAAUACCGGUGGCGAAGGCGGCCCCCUGGACAGAUACUGACACUCAGAUGCGAAAGCGUGGGGAGCAAACAGGAUUAGAUACCCUGGUAGUCCACGCCGUAAACGAUGUCUACUUGGAGGUUGUGGCCUUGAGCCGUGGCUUUCGGAGCUAACGCGUUAAGUAGACCGCCUGG